ACUUGUUCUACAACCAGGUCAACUUUGUUCCCCACCCAAGGGGUCACUGUGGGAGUUUCCUCCACCUGGGGGCCUGGAGCUGCUUGCUGAUCAGGAGGUGUCCUCAUAGCUUCAGACUCUAGGCCUAGAGUUAGGAUCUCUUCUGCUAUUUCUGCAACUGAUUCCUGGCUAUUGGUAAGACAGAUCUCUUGCUCUGAUGUCUGAGGUGUGGACUCUAUCCCUGGGAAUGUAGCCCUACUUCUGUAGGCCUGCUCUGUAUUCUGAGCACUGGGCUGGGCAUGGGGCUCCCCACUGUACAGCCUGUCAUCAUCUGCCCCAGCAUAGGAAGCCGAGUCUGAGUCAGAGGAGGCUGCGGAGGUGUCAUCCCGGAAGGCGAAGGCCUCAUCCAUGCCCUCGAUGAUGGACAGGUCGGACAGCGACUGCAGGAAGGAGGCAGACGUGCUGUCAUCCUCCCCCUCCCCAGCCAGGUCUCCAUCUGGGGUUGCAGCAGCAGGAGCAGCAGCAGCAGCAGUAGCAGCUACAUCCUCUUCGUCUUCCUCCUCCUCUUGGGGCAAUGGUGUCACCUCCACAGCCUCCACCUGGAAGAUGAGGCUACCCCGGAAGGGUAGUAGGGCGGCAGGGAUCAUCGGGUCGUUGGCCAGGAAGUUUGGGUCAAAGAAAUGGCCCUCUUGGCUCCAGGAAGAGCUGCUGUCUGCUGAGAGGCUAGACUCAGAGGAUGGGGGCUCUGGAGGUGCUGCGGGGUGUGGCUCUAGGUCAUCUGCCACUGACCCUGAUGGGGAAAGGCCCCCCAGCAGGCUGAGGGAACAGGAAGGGGAUGAAGCCCAGCUGUCCCCGUCUGCUGUAAUGUAGGAGCCGGAGGGUGAGGCUGGCGUGGAGUCCAAUAACUCAUCCAGCAGCUCGGCCUCCAGAUCCCAGGCAUCCCUGUGGGGCCCAUGGUCAGGAAGCAGGGCAUGGGUGCUCUUGGUGGGAGUAGAGGGGGGUGUGAAGUAAGACUCGAGGUCAGGGGGAGGGGAAGGCACAGGAGGAUCGCCCUGAGAACACAGCUCUGGAGGUGGGUGCAGGGCAGGGUGCCCACCCUCCCGGUCCCUGAGCACUGGCCAGGCUGCCCUAGGUGAAGCGAUGACCUGGCAUGUCUCCUCACCCAUCACGAUGCGGGGCUCCAGGGUGGUGGGGAGAGGGCCUUCGGCAGGCACAGGCCGGAGAGGCAGGCCCUCGGGGAGGACCACUAGGCUUGGGCUGCCCUCUGCCGGGUCCACCCAGGCUGAGGCAGCUCCACUGGGCCCUGCAUCCCAGCUGGCCCCCUCAGGCUGGGGCCGGGCACCUGGCUUGCUGGACAGGAACGUGAGGGCCAGAGGACUAGGCCCCGGGGUCAGGCCAUGGGGCUCCAGUUGGUCCCCUUUCAGGAUGGUUGCAAUAGCUGCAUCACAUGAGUGAUCUGUGGAGAUAGAAAAGGACAUGAGAUGCCCUCUGGACACAUCUCAGGGCCAGGCCAGGUGAAGAGCUGAGCACGGGAUGAGCGGGUUUCCAUGGAUACAAUUCCAGAGGAGGGCUGGUCAGGGAAGUUAGUGGAGAAGACAAUGGCUGGUAAGCAAAGUGUAUUUGAGGAAGACUUUCCAGGUGUUCAGCAGAUUCGGCAGCUGCUGACAGAGGCUUUAUAAGAAGGGUAGCUGUGGGGGGUGCUGUUGUGUAGUAGAAACCAAGAUGUUUUGGAGGGCGCACUUCAGCAAACACACAACUAGCAAUUGUCUCUGUUCAGAACUCAGCUUGCCGGUUCAGCUAGGUUCAGCUGGGCUUAUCUGGAACAGAGGGCCACGAGAACCCGCUGGGCAGUGCCAGCUCUUUCCUAUGACAAGGGCAGGGGUCCUGCACACUACAGCUCUGGGACAGUCCAAGUCUGCUGUAAGCAGGAGCUUCUUAGCCUAUCUCUCUCCUACCCUUGCUGUCUAUACUCAAGACCAACCUCGGGUUCCUCAGAGCUCAGCGCAGCCCUGCACAGAGCUGAGAAUGGAGACAGACAGGUACCACGGUCUGUCAAAAGGGCCAUGGUGGGAAAUGAUGGCCACGGGAACGGGACAGCUGAGGGAAGGCUGGCUAUGUCCUCUCCAUGGAGACAGCCGCUCAGAGUAACAGAUCCUCCAGCACGCUGGGAACUCCUGGUCUGCCCUGGGGUCCUUCUCUAGGUCUUAGGCACCAUCUGGGUCAGGUACAGGUGCUCACAAAAGCUCAUGGGCUGACAUGCCUUCUGCCGACAUGCUGCACCGGACACACAUGCUCAGGCCGUGGAGCACUAUGGGUCAGAAAGUACUUAGGGACUUAGGAAGGUAGCAAAGAAACCUCUCCAGAUAGCAGCAUCCCAUGCCCCUCCUAUCCUCCUGGCUAAUGCUGUCUUGCCUCAUGGCGAGCUGCAUGUCCCUACUCAGGUCACUUUGCACAUUCAUUUGAGUCUCGUGGCUUUUAGCUCAACUGUGUUAAGUGUUUCUCUGAGUGCUCCUUUUAAAAGACUCUGUAACAGCCCCUCCCUCACCUGGACCAAGGCCAAAAACACAUCUCUCUGAAGUAUCCACUUAAAGCCUUCCUAGUGUCUGUCCCCAGAGCUCAGUUCACGUCCUGCGUAAGAGGGGGAGGAGCAGUGCCUAGGGGCCUGCGGCUCCAGCAGGCACACAGCCAACACUGCCGGCUUUACCAUGCUCACUGGUGACAGGGCAACAUCGCCUGUACCGUGGCGGCUUUGUCUUUCUCAGCUACUGAGCAAUUCUCAGCUGGGAUGAGAGGGAAGCUGGAGGGGAGACAGCCACCUCCUUGAUAUCUGAUCUCAGGAAUGUCUGAGCGCUGGGUUCUUUGACAUCAGCUGGACUCACUGACCAGAAGCUGGGCUAUUAGAGCAAUCAGGUCCUGACAGAAAGGGAGAGGGGUUCUUUCAGGUUCUUUGAGGGAGAUGGUACCGACGUGGGUGUGGCUAGUAGCCAUCACUGGGCGUUCCCAAGUUAGGCUCUUGCCUUCUCCACUUCCUAGUGUGGCCCCAGGGCAGUAGGGCAGAAUUGGGCCAAGGUUAAAAUGGAAGGGAAAUAAAAAGCCAAGGUGUGUG
rnacentral:lncRNA from 1 species